UGCUGCACACUCUCAAAUCUGCUCCUAAUGACUGGUGGACCGUGGGGCAGGGUACUGCAGCAGGAAAGAGGGAUCAGCAAAAAAUACAAUACCCCCCCCCCCAGAAUGCCAGCAGACUUCGGACAAAAGUAGACAUCACUGCACAAUUUUGGAUAUAACCCAAAGUUUCCUGGCAGCUAAAGACAAGGAAUGUAGGUCUGAUGAAAUACUGAAGUUUCUUUGACCUGAAGUUAAACAGGACAUAAUUCCUCAGGAUGCGUGACUCUGUCCAAAGACUGACAUGUGCCUCUGGCACUGAGGACAUAUCUAGUCUUCAGAAAUGAAUGAAGUGGCAGGAUGCCAAAUGUCAUGUAUUAAAGACCUUGUCUCACUUCGGUCAGCAACACGGAAAUGCAGAGUUUAGCACAUUGCCUGCCUCAGGAACAGAGUGAUAUGAUAACUGUGUGAUCUUCUGAUGUCUUGUGCUUGUAUGGCAUAUAUGUGGAAGACAAGUAAUUCACAUUCAGGUCACAGUGUUAACAGAGUUGAUGUUUUGUAAGAAGAUUUGUGAGGAAGCCUCUAGAUUUAUAAGUGAAAAAUCUGCUAAUAAAUAUAUAAUCCGAU